CGGCCGUUGGAGCUGUCCGGAAAGCUCGUCACGCUCUCAACGUGAAGAUCACGGGUUCAAAUCCCGUACGGCCGA
rnacentral:tRNA from 1 species